AUACGAACUGUGCGAACGUUAUUCGGAAUCACUGGGCUUAAAGGGUGCGUAGGCGGUUAUCUAAGUCAGGUGUGAAAUCUCUCGGCUCAACCGGGAAACUGCGCUUGAAACUGGAUGACUGGAGUGAUGCAGGGGUGUGUAGAACUUCCGGUGGAGCGGUGAAAUGUGUAGAUAUCGGAAGGAACGCCAGCAGCGAAAGCGGCACACUGGGCAUUUUCUGACGCUGAGGCACGAAAGCUAGGGGAGUGAACGGGAUUAGAUACCCCGGUAAUCCUAGCCGUAAACACUGAACACUGGGGGAGGGAGGCUUCGGCCUUCUUUCCCGUAGCGAAAGCGUUAAGUGUUCCGCCUGGGGAGUAUGGUCGCAAGGCUGAA
rnacentral:rRNA from 1 species